rnacentral:lncRNA from 1 species
UAAGCUCUGCAGCUGGCUUUGGUCAUCUGAGGCUCCCACCUGCCCCACCACGUGCACCCUGCCCAUCCCCUCCAUGUGGGACCGGAGGCGUACACCCGGGGUGUAAAUGCACAGAUACAGAGCCCUGGUGUGCCUGCCUGAGUUCUUGUAGCAAGGCCACCUCACUCAAGCUGAAGGGUCCAUAAGAUCUCUCAUCUCUCAUCCCCUGCCCUAAUCUGCUGAGUGCCAGCACCCUGCAACUGGGGCCUCCUUGGCCAGCAUGGUUCUGAGCCCCGCCUGAACUCCAGCCUUGGUUAGUGUCCUCUGUGAACCUAGGAGGCCCUGCCUGUGGUCUCAGUAGAAAAGGCCAAGCAGGCAUGAGAAUGGCUAGAAGAAUCUCUCAGAGUUCUGGCCGGCAAGGACCUCUGAUGACCUGCUCCUGGGGUGGGGGAGUCCAGGGCUCCCAGCCUGUGCCUCAGUUUCCCACAGAGGCAAACUUAUGCUGAUCGGAUGGAAAAAUUGCUCCUUUGAAAAGAGAGAGGCUAGGCAGAUGCUGGGCCAUGGCUGGAACUGAACUGAGGAAGGAUCAAAGGUGGGUUGUUUGGCAGGCUGCCCCAUGGAAGGCAGGAGUAUCUAGGGCUGUGUCCGAGGGGUGCUCAGCACCCCCAGCAAAGGUUCAUGGGCAGCUGCCUCUGCUGCUGGUAUGGUACAGGACCCCUCCCCAUGCCACCCUUGCAAGGCAAGGCAUGGCUUGGCAGCUCCAAAACACCAGCCUCCCUGAAGCCAAGUUCUACCUGGCAAGCACCAGGCUCAGAAACAAACUGGACAUUUUAAAGUCUCCCUGGCAAAGCCACUCGAUAGCUAAAGCUGGUCAGCAAACAAUGAAAUAACUGAAAACUGGGUCACAGGGCCUUGCCCAGCAGGGCCGGGGCUGGGGGCCACUGGGUCUUCAAAGGCAAAGGAAUCUAGGGGUCUUUUCCUGUUUCCUUUUUUGGACCUAAUUACAAGAAAAAGUGUCUUCUAAAAUUGUUUUUAAAAAAAUCACACGAAUCUGAGUCUCAAAAGCUCCUUGGGAUAAAAUUAUAACCUUCUUCAACUUUUUUCUUUUCUUUGUUUGGCUUUGUCUUUUCUUUUUUGGAGGGAGCGAGGGGCCUGAGGACUGAGUUCAGAGCCUUUGCACUGAGCUACAUCCCCAGCCCUUUUUAUUUAUUUUGAAACAAGGUCUCUCCAAGUUGCCAAAUCGCCCAAGCUGGUAACUUUGUCCAACAUUUGAGGGAAAACAACCCAAACCAGACAGUGGUCACAGCCUGAAUUUAAUGCUAGCUGCGUUCAGUCUCAGCAUCCGGAUGCCACUGGAAGUGACCUCAGUCCCGCAGGACCUGGGCAUUCGUUUUAUGGAGAAGCAAAUCACACUUGCCUGAAGGGUAAGCAAAUUUUAGUUGGAAACAGGGACAGAUUUUUACAUAUCACAAAAUCCUGCAACAUUAUGGCUUAGAAAAUAAAACUCAGGCCUCUGUUCUUAACUCAAGAGAUGCACCCCAGAUGUGACUGAGGCAGAAAAGACGUAUUCUGAGUGACAGAAGCUCUUGGAAGCAAAAGCUAAAGAAAAUAAUUACGUUUUCUUUCUUUUUAAAGAAGGCAAAUGAUGAGUACAAACCACUAAGAUUUCCAUCCAGAGACGACAGUUUAUCAUUUGACUAUAGAUUCAGGAUCUCUAGACUUCUCUGGGGGUGAACGUAAUCUCUUAGAUUUGCCUUUCGACACCAUAUAAAAUAUGAACUACAAAUAAGACAAUCACCAAAUGUCCAAGGAGAAUAUCCUCUUCCCCUCUGUGCUGUUUUUUAGGGGACAAAAACACUUCUUCAAUCCACAUAAAAUCUUAAUUGAGAUUUUAAUCCCCCUUGUGCAUGUAUAGAUGUUUGAUCUGGGACUCCAUAUAGAACUUGAUUAAUAAGCUACCAGCGAUUAAUCCUUUUAUAGCAAAACAAAAAAUAUUUACUUACAAUACAUGUGUGUUGUCCUAAUGAAUAUUUCUGCCACCUUCCAUCUGUCUCCCACAGCUGGAAGGAAACAUGCCAUUUGUCUGUCUUCCUAUUCACAAGCCUUCCAAAAUGACCCCCCUCCCAUUAUAAAAAUACCAUGUGUUUAAGGAAGGCACAGAAAAAUCUAACAUAUAAACAAUCUUAAUGACAAGAUAUGAAUAUAGAUAUUUAAGAUAUAGAUAAUUUCAAUAGUAAGUAAAAAAUAUGGAUUAAGUACAAAAUGCACAGAAAAGGGAACAUUCACCUAGAUGCCAUUAACCAGAAAUAGUAUUUUAUUAUGUUCCCUUCUCAUCUACUGUAUAUAAGUACAUAAUUCACAUACAUAUUUACAGGUGGGGAAAUAUUGUCUCCUAUAUUUCCCCAUCCAUUAUAAACUCCAUCAACAGCAUUUUUAGGGUGACACAAAAUGCCAUUAUUUCAUCCUGGGGUAGUUUAUUACCAUGUUCCCCAUUUCAUUUCUUACUAGUAUUUCUUUCCUGUACCUAACACUGUAGCCCAUGAACUUGCCUGUGAAAUGUGUCUACAUUGUGGGUUACUAAUAUAUCUCACAUGAUCUGUCGAUAGGAUGUUGAGGCCACCGUGUUAAUCUAAAGGGGCCAAGGCUGACCCUGUGGAUGCCAUUUAUUCUGUCCCCAAGGAACUUGGCACUUCUGGAAUUCCUUCUGCACCACAGUGACUCCAGGAAGCAAUAUGGAAAUCUGUUGGUUUCCCCUCGAUGAGCUUAGUCCUGUGAAACUUUUGCCUGCCAAUGUGUGGGACCAGCUAAGGCACAUGCUGGCUUGUGACUUUGCCCUGUGUCCCUGCUUCCCAAGCCACUUGGCCCUCACUUCUAUGACCCUCCCCCCAUUCCUCAGAGAUCUUAAGUCAAGGUCAUGAAGCCUAUGCUUUGAAAACAUCAUCUCAACAGUGCUGGCCGUGCGCUGUUCGUCUGAGGAGCGGUGCUCAAUUUAGCCCGAGUCUUUCUUUGCCGAGGACCCAACCCAUUCUGGUGCUUUCUGCCUCCGCCCCACGCUAUUGGCUCUGUGCUUUCUGUCUGGAUGGCCCACCUGUCCUCCCCUCCCUGCCCACUUACCUUGCCUACUGCUGUGGGUUUUCAUGCCCCUGUGCCACUUGCCCACGCCCACAGCUCACCUGCAGCCUGGCUCUGCAUGUGUCUGGCCUGUCCCAGCUGAGCUCCCAGAAUUGCAGAGACGGCAGGUUGCUGCCAGAGACCCAAGGCCUGGUCUCUGAACACCCCGGGCCUGAGCCCUAGAGGAGGAACUACUGCUACCACUGACAGAGAGAAGUGCAUAGGAGACAAGGGGGACCAGGCAGAAAAGCCUGGUGGAGUUAUCUACAAAUAGAUACUGCGAGAACCAACAAUAAGGAAGGACAGGAAGCCGUGACCAGAGCUGUCUUUUUGUGAGAGGAUUGAACACUUUUCCCCUGUGUAUUUUUUAAAUUUUCUACAUUGAGCAUACAUUGUUUCAGGAUCAGAAAAGGACUACAUUAUUGAUGUAUCUAUGCUCUGUGACAUAGAUGCAGUUCGAGUAAGAAUGCAGUUAAUUAUUGUUGCUGCUUAGAAGUUGAAGAGAAAUGGUAUCAUCACCAUAUCAUAGUCUCUUGCCAGGAAAGUUAUUGGGACUGUAGCGGUGCCUCCUGUGUCCCUAGCACUUCGCCCUGUAGAGCAACACUUCAAAACAGAAAAUGAAACUGGGCAGCAUCGCCAGGCAAACACUGGCUGCCGUUGUCGUGUUCCCUUCUGCAGCCCUCGGCUGAGGUAAGCAUGGCCGGGCAAUGUUCUCAUUUUAAGCUGAGGAAGCUGAGGUUUGGAGCAGUACAGACACCACAGCUUGUUGACUCGCUUGGUCUCCUGUGUCUCUAUAGCAGCUUCUAGGCCAGUUUCCCUGGGGAUCCAGUAUGCUUCCUGUUGUUCCCAAUGUUGUCCCCAUUACUACGAGCGAUGCCCACAGCCAGGGAGGGACUGUGAUCAGCAGAGAUUCUGCUGGGUUUGCUUGGGAAUAAUGCACAUACACGGGUGCCCCCAUCCCUGGAGGGGCAUGCUGCAGCUGGGGUCCUGCUGGGAGGUCUGUCGCACUGUGGAAGGUGACAGUGUCUCAGCCAGCCAGGUGGGGAUUCUUCUACACGAUGACCUCAGAGACAAAUGCCACACUCCUUCUUAGAAGGAAAAACGUGGCCAGGAGGAGGAGGAGGACUCAGCGUGCAUCUGGGGGACACAUCCUCCCCAGGACACCUCCUGCUGCCGGGCACACCCUGCUUUUUUACCCCUGGGGUUAACAGUGAGCUACUUCCAACCCCUGGACAACAGCUGUAAGUAGCGAUCUCCAAACUGAAAUUUUUUUUAUCCUAAGUAUUUUUCUUUAAAACUGGGCUAAAAGGCGAACCAGCACGCUGGCUUUUUACUCUAAAAGGCAAUUUCUAAAUUUGGAUUUAAAAAAAUGUACUCCGGCAUGAAAAAUCCAAUGGCUCUCAGAAUGCAAGUAAGAUAUACCACUCUUUGUGCUAAACCCAUCCUCACUGGCUUAAAAUAAAUCAGAACAAAAUGAUGUACACCGAGCAUAUGUCUUCCAUCGCCUCUUUUCUGGAGCAGAGUAGGGCAAGCUGCCUGCUGCACAAAGACGCAGACCUGUUCUGUCCCCAGAUCUGCCUGGCCUGGAUUCUGGUGGUCCCAGACUGUAACCUGCGGCCCCAGUGUCCCAUGGACCAAACAGACCAAGGCUUUUUGUGUGCCAGAGACAGCCUGAGGAUUAGGCAGGGCUUAAAUUAUAAAGUAAAUAAUUGCAGAAAACAAUCAACAGGUAACAGGACUAAAUGGGAUACAUUUAGGAAAAUCCCCGGCCCUUGGAGUUUUUCAGCUAUAAGUAGAUGGGCACAUUUUCAAAAGACCUCUUAUUCUACUUCCCGUCUUCACAUAGGCAGAAUAUCCCUGCUUUCUAAAAUAAAAACACAUGCCACUUUAACUUAAAAGAGAAAAGCCAAACUACAGAAUGUUUGCAGAGAUAAUUCUUAUAUUAAAAAUGAGAACGAAACUGCUAUCUGGGUUUUAUACCUAUUUUGGGGAAAACUAUCUUCUCUGAGUGUCAACAAUUUAACUGUCAACUCACAACAAAAUGCUAUUCCUGUCUCAGAGGCUCUAGACUGGCAGCCUAGAAGGAGAGAUUUUAAUUGUAAUUACUAAAGAGCAAAUGCUGAGGUGAAUAGCAAAUAUUGCUUUCAGGGAUUCUCCACACAGGGCUGGGUCAUAACUAAUUUAUUUUUAACUUAUCCAUCGAUCUAUGCACCAGAUUAAAAUACUUAUAUCAAUUUGUUUGCUUUAAGACACGCCAUCAUAGACACUAGCUUCAGGGCCACUCCUUAAUUUUUCACAGUUUUAGCUUUUCAUUGUUUGCAGAAAUUCAGCCCUAGAAUAGUGCAUACUUUCCGAUGCUGUAAGCAAGGGGCGGCCCACUGUGCUCUCCACCAGGAAAACCCCUGCUUGGGCUUAGUGACGGUGCCCAGCCAUGGCAACAGUGACAGAGCCCCACCGAAGCCUGCUUCCCUGGAGAGGCCGAUGAAGUCAUGCAGGCCCGAGCCCAGCUCCUAUGAGGGAGGCGGAUGGAAACCAGAGCCUGGCAAGGAUGUGUCAGCCGGAUGGCAGGUGGAGAGAUGCAGGCAUGGCGAGUUCAGGCAAAGUGCCAAAGCUCACCCCAGAAAGGUGGCCCAGGAUUUGAACUCGGAAGAGCCCGUGUCGCCCCUAUCUAGGUGACCACCAUGUUGGAAAAGUCUUCCCCUUAAACCAUGGCACCCUGGCCUCGCUUCAGAUCGUCCCACAGCGCUCUGCAGGUCUGGGCAGAUGAUGGUGAGGGUGCCUGGAUUCUCCAGCGAGCUGUGUCUUCAGGGAAAUGAAUCUACCUCCUCUGUUUAUCUAGCUCUCUGCCCUGAGGUGUGGUUCUCAGCUGCUUGUCACUGAGGGCAUAGGCUCCUGCCAGAGGGCUCUGCCAGGACCAGCACCAUGCCCUUCUGCCCAAGGGACAGUCCCAGUCAUGCCUGCUUCUCUCUGCAGGAAGCCAGUCCCCUUUAGGGACCAGCUGCAGCCCCCUGAGAGCCUCAGCUUCCUUCCCUUCAAGAUGAGAAGAGAAACCCCUGCACUCCAGGGUCUGGGGACGGGGGCAGGGGUGUCCCUCCAAGAUCAGGUGCUUCGACCUCCUGGGAUAGGGAAGGGAGAGAGCACAUGAGGAUCUGUGGCCUCAGUUUCCCUGACCUUUCUAGGUAUGACCAUGUGUAAGCUCCAGACUCCAAGUGGGAAGCCAGGAAGGAAGGGAGGGAGGUGGCAUCUUUCUGUCCUCGUGCUCAAGGAAAGGUCAGGUCCCAGGCCUCAGAUGUCACAGUGUUCCUCUAUGAUCAGAAGGAGCCCUACAGGUAUGACUAACCUGAGUGAGAGAGCACCCUGGAUCACCCAGGUGGCCCAAGGAAUGACGGUGGUCCUUAAAACCAGAGAAUUAGCUCCAGUUGUGGCUGGAGACAGAGCGAGGUGAUACUGCUGAUUUUGAAAACGGAGGGGACCGCAAACCCAGGGAUACAGGAGGCCCUGAACUGGAGCCUCCAGAAGGACCCAGCCCUGCUGACACCUUGGUGUUAGCCCAGUGAGACCCUCUUCAGCCACAUCAGACUUCAGACUUCCCUGACUAAAGUAAAUCAACACAUAAAUUUGGAGUAUGCUUAGCAUGCAUGAAACCCUGGGUUCCUUUCCCAGCAGCACAUUAAAAAAAUAAUAAAGUAAAUCUUCGUUGUUCCAGCCAUGUGACAGAAUGGGAGGGGGUAAUGCAAGGAUGGGGCCCCAAUGUGGUCACUUCACACACAGUGCUCACCUUCGGGACCUGCGGGCUUGGGGUGGACACACCUCAUUCCCACCCUCAGGGCCUCAGUCGGGUGGCAGAUUCCUCCUCUCCCCUGGGAUCCUGACCUCACCUCCAGGGCAGCUGGCGCUCCUCGCUUCCCUCCUCCUCCACCUCCUCCCGGCCAUCCAGGACGCCUUGCCCAGGAGUGGGCACCACACUAAAGGCUACGCCCUCCCAACUCGACAUUGCCAUCUUUCCAACUCCAGCCCAACAGGAGAGUGGUCUGGGCAGCCUGUCUGGCCACUCGUGGGCCCCACACCCAGUCCACAGUGUGAUGGGACACGGGGCUGUUUUCUGCUCUCCUCCUUUCACUAGGGGUGUAGAACCUCCAGGGUCCACACAGAGGGCCCCGGGCCAGGACCUCUGCUCAUGGAGCCUGGGCUUCAUCUGUGAAGGAGGCCAGUCACGGAUGCCAGGCACUCAGCCAAGGCAAGUGGGCUGUUUCAGAGACAACCCAAGACCAAAAUGUCUUUCCUUCCUGGAAGCCCCAGCACGAAAGCCUGGUUUUACCAGCUUAGGAAAUAGAAGGCCACACACAAUGUGUUUCGUGGUGUUCAUAGGAGGGAAAAUGGAAACACUUGGGAAGAACCUGGGUGCCCGAUAAAUAAAUUAAAGAACAAAAUAAAAGGUAGAUAAUAGGAAACAGGGAGAUGGAUCUGCUGGAAAUGGGAAGGGGGCCAAGACAUGGAGGGAGGAGGAGGGAUGGGAGGAGACAGAGACAUAACGAGAAUUAAGAUGUGUUCUGUCCACGACCAACUCCUCAGGAUGAGUGUAAUCAUUAUGUACUGAAAACAUAGAGUAAUAAAAGUAAAAAUUUAAAAAGGGGUUAGUUAAGGAAACGCAUGCAGCGGAACAUUAACUAGUCAGCAGAACUACUUUGUAGACCAGCAUCUUCUGACACAGGCAAAGCGUGGUGAUCAAAUAUUUAGUGAACCACUCAGAAGGAAAAAUGAUCUACAUAACGAGGCUCAGAGACUAAUUUUUAAAAACGGAUAGGUUUGCAUGGAAGCUGGGCGAGGCACUCCCAGCGGCUGUGUGAGUGUGGUUUCAAAGGUGACUGAGAGAUUCGAG